UCAACAACUACUACUUUCAAUUCUGUUUCUACCAUUUCUUCUGGAAGUGGAACUGGAAGCAGCAGUAAUAUAUCUUCCUCCAUAAGUAGAAGCAACUUCUCCUCAGUCUCUGAUUAUUCAAUUGGUGGCCAGAUCUUACCUACUUCUAAUUUGAGGAUAUUUACUUUUGCUGAAUUAAAGGCUGCUACCAAAAAUUUCAAACCUGAUACACUUCUUGGUGAGGGAGGUUUUGGUAAAGUCUACAAGGGAUGGCUUGAUUCCAAGAAUAGUAGUGGAACUGCCGUUGCCGUCAAAAAAUUGAACUCUGAAGGCUACCAGGGACUCGAGGAGUGGCAGGUACGUACGUAAUUGGAUCAUCCUAUAUAUAAUAUUCAAUCAUAGACACAGAUUAAUUAAUUUGGUGAUUGAUUUCUGUUUGUGUUUUGUGCAGUCAGAAAUAAAUUUUCUAGGACGGCUUUAUCAUCCUAACCUUGUUAAGCUGUUGGGAUAUUGUUACGAGGAAACAGAACUUCUUCUUGUCUAUGAAUACAUGCAGAAGGGCAGUUUGGAACAUCAUCUUUUUGGAAGGGGUGCUUCUGUUCAGCCACUUCCCUGGGAUCUUAGGCUUAAGAUAGCAAUUGGAGCGGCCGCUGGCCUUUCCUUCUUGCAUACAUCCGAUCGAGAAAUUAUUUAUCGAGACUUUAAGGCCUCUAAUAUAUUACUUGAUGGGGUCAGUUCACUUCACUUCAAUUCUAUUCGGUUUUAUUUACAAAUCUUCAUACUUUAUUUAUAGUAUUGAUUAGUUGGCCUCAAUUUUAAUUAAAUUAUGGUGCUGCUGCAGUCCUAUAAUGCAAAGAUAUCAGAUUUUGGACUUGCUAAGCUGGGUCCUUCAGCAAGUCAAUCCCAUUUGUCAACAACUGUAAUGGGCACACCUGGUUAUGCAGCUCCUGAAUAUAUGCAAACAGGUAAGUAAAUAAGUAAUUCAUUGCUUUUUAGUGCCCAAAUAAAAUGAAUUUCAUUGUUGAAGUAGCUACUAGCUACUACUACUAAUUGAAAUUGACAUAUACUAUAUGAUAUGCAGGGCAUCUAUAUGUAAAGAGUGACGUGUAUGGGUUUGGAGUUGUUUUGGUUGAGAUACUGUCAGGCCAACGAGCCAUUGAUACCAACCGUCCAACCGGGUAUCACAGUCUAACGGACUGGGUCAAACCAUUCCUACAUGAUAAAAGAAAAUUGAAGAAGAUUAUGGAUCCUCAUUUGGGAGAUAAAUAUCCAAGCAAAGCUGCAUUUCCUAUAGCUAAGCUUGCUUCAAAAUGUCUUGCACCCGAGCCCAAAAUGCGCCCGUCCAUGAAGGAUGUUUUGGAGAUCUUGCAAGGAAUUCAAGCUUCCACAAACAAAAACGUGGAGGUUAGGGGUGAUCAUUAAUUAAUUCAUUAUUAAUCCUAUUUAUAUGUGAAUUAAUUAAUGGACCUGUAUGAUUAAAAGGCUAUUGGUUGUUCAUUUUGUAUUUUCCUUGAACUCAAGUAGCUAGCUAGGUGUAUUUCUGUGGUGGCUUCAGUGAGUUGUGGAUUUGAUAUACAUGCCUCUAGUUAGUUCAUCAACAUGUUGUAUUGUAUCGUGUACCUAUAGUUCUAUAUUAGAAAUCCCAAAUAUUCAUUAUGGAUCUUGAUCAAACUCAUGGAUUAUUCUUGUAUUGUCACAAAACCAUAUAUAAAUCUCUUAGACACACUCACAAAAUAUAAACUCUACAUUUUGUUUUGAGGAGUGCUAUAUAGUGCGAAAAUCCUCUCCCGAAAUGAUCACGAAAAUGUACGCGUAUGUCAAAUUCAGCUCAUUUGUUAAUUUAAGGCAAAGCUCUUUUUUGGUUUUAAUUAAAACAAUAAUUAAUAAUACAGCAGUGUAUUGUGGAUCCACCGCUUGGGGAUUUUUUGUAACUAAUUAACCAGUUAUCCAUACUUCACUUCAAUUCAACCAAUAGCUUAUAAAAAAUUCAACACAUGCUAUGCUACUACUUCAUCCAAGAUCUGCUAUACAAUUUGCCACUUUCACAUUUAGUCAUGCGUUACUUUUUAGAACCACCUGUUUUGAUGAUAAAUUAUUGGAAUAAUAAAGAGAGGUUUUGUGAUAAGACGGUGAGAAACUAACAAAUGAAGAGAAAUAGAGCACUGCUAUUUGCAGCGAAAGAAAAUAUCACGAAUGGUUUCACGAAGUAUUGCCAUCAUUGGAUUUUGUUUGGUGGAAAACAUGAACGGUGGGAUGAAAAGAAGGGAGUAUGAGACAGUUUCAACAUACUGCUUACAAGUUGUCGUGAUGCAUUCGUGGGCAAAUUUGUCGCUAUAAGUAGCAUUAUAAGUCAUAUAAGGCGCACAACUCAUUCGGGAUGUGUUCGGGAAUUUUUACUCGUGACAUAUAGCAUUUUCCUUUUGUUUUUUUGAGUUUGUGAGUGUGCGUAAGCCUAAGACUUAUGACUAUGGAAGACUUUCUCCAAACUUAUAUAAGGAUUGUGACUCUCUCUUGAUGCACAAUAUAUUACAGAUAACAAUUAUCAAUAAAUCUCUUACAGGCCUAAUCUGUUAGCAGGUCUCUAACACACAUCAACACUUUACUUUGACCUAAUGUGAUAUACGAUUAGAAAAAUGGGGCAGCACGGAUCAUACUCCAAUACUAUUGUUCAAAGGGAUUAUAAACAUUCACCAUUUUAUUGAUCAUUAUUAUGAUCACCACAACCUUCAAAAAGGCACAGAGAAUAUAGUUGAUCAGUAAAAUCCAAAUGAACAAUUUGACCAUGAUUUGGAAAACUAGUGUGCAAAUCUUAAAAGCCAUACCUUUGGGUUUCUUGUGCUGCAUAUUGAUUACGGGGUGAGUUAUCUUCACCAGAAGUCUUUCGAAUGUCAGAAUCUACAAAGUCCCUAUGCGGACUUCCGAUAGUACUGCUUGCAAAUGGACUAUUAGGAGCACUUUUUGCAGAUCCAUUGUCACUUUUAUUAGAAACAGAUCCAUUGCCUACUCUUUUGUCCCUCCCUUACUAGUAGUAGUAUUAGUAGUAGUAAUUCACUAUGUAUGGUAGUACAUCGUACAAAUACUAUACACGCAUGCAUACGCAUAUAUCGAGCAAAUAAUUAGUGGAAGAAGAGGAAAAGCUAUCUUUCAUUCAUUAUUGAACUGGACAAGAAAGAAAAAGCAGCAAAAGUAAUAUAUUAUUAUUAAUUAAAAAAUAAAAAAAAAGAUAAGAGCAAGAAUAAAAAGCACGUAACAAGAAGAAAAGAAAGAAGAAAUAAUGGUUUGAUUGAUUGGAGAGCAAAAGUGGAACUUGUUGAAAUUCAAACAAAUACACCACCCUGCUGCUCUAAUUAACCUCUUCUUCUUCUUCUUAUUGUUGCAAUUAUACAAUUCAAUGGGGAUUUGCUGGAGUUAUCCACCUAAAGAUCCAACUCCAACUGGAACUGGUAACAAUUCAACAACUUGUUCAUUGUACUCAAACAUUCAUAAUUUGAUUAUUAAUUAAUCUCCUUAUUAUUUAUUCUACUAUGUGUAUGUAGUUACACCUGCAGGGAUAUCUCAUUCUCAGACCACAAGUGGAAGCUAUGGUAUUAGUACCACCACCACCACUGCUUCAACAACUACUACUUUCAAUUCUGUUUCUACCACUUCUUCUGGAAAUGGAAGCAGCAGUAAUAUAUCUUCCUCCAUAAGUAGAAGCAACUUCUCCUCAGUUUCUGAUUAUUCAAUUGGUGGCCAGAUCUUACCUACUUCUAAUUUGAGGAUCUUUACUUUUGCUGAAUUAAAGGCUGCUACCAAGAAUUUCAAACCUGAUACACUUCUUGGUGAAGGAGGUUUUGGUAAAGUUUACAAGGGAUGGCUUGAUUCCAAGAAUAGUAGUGGAACUACUGUUGCCGUCAAAAAAUUGAACUCCGAAAGCUACCAAGGACUCGAGGAGUGGAAGGUACGUAAAUGGAUCACCCUAUUCAAUCAUAGACACAGAUUAAUUAAUUUGGUGAUUGAUUAAUGGUUAAUUGGUUUGUAUAUGUGUUUUGUGCAGUCAGAAAUAAAUUUUCUAGGACGGCUUUAUCAUCCUAACCUUGUUAAGCUGUUGGGAUAUUGUUACGAGGAAUCAGAACUUCUUCUUGUCUAUGAAUACUUGCAGAGGGGCAGUUUGGAACAUCAUCUCUUUGGAAGGGGUGCUUCUGUUCACCCACUUCCCUGGGAUCUCAGGCUUAA
rnacentral:lncRNA from 1 species